rnacentral:rRNA from 1 species
GAUGAACGCUGGCGGCGUGCUUAACACAUGCAAGUCGAACGGAAAGGCCCAAGCUUGGUUGGGUACUCGAGUGGCGAACGGGUGAGUAACACGUGGGUGAUCUGCCCUGCACUUCGGGAUAAGCCUGGGAAACUGGGGCUAAUACCGGAUAGGAGCACUUCUUGGAUGGUGGGGGGGAAAGAUUUUUCGGUGUUGGAUGAGCUCGCGGGCUAUCAGCGUUUGGGUGUGGGGAUGGCCUACCAAGGCGUCGACGGGUAUCCGGCCUGUGAGGGUGUACGCGCCCAUUGGGGCAGUGAGACGCGCCCGACUCCUCUGCGGGGCAGCACUGUGGAAUAUUGCACACUGGGGGCGGGACUGAUGCAGCGCAGCCCCGUGGGCGAUGACGGCCCUCGCGUUGUAAACUCCUCUCGCUCGGGACGAAGCGCUUUUGUGACGGUACCUGGAGAAGAAGCACCGGCUAACUACGUG